AGCAUUCAAAUACCAGUUCCUGAACGAUCACCAAAGUUAAGCAACAUCGAGCUUGGUCAGUAGCUAGAUGAGUGAAUGCUUGGGAAUACCAAGUGCUGUAAG